CCUACGGGAGGCAGCAGUGAGGAAUAUUGGUCAAUGGACGCAAGUCUGAACCAGCCAUGCCGCGUGCAGGAAGACGGCUCUAUGAGUUGUAAACUGCUUUUGUACGAGGGUAAACGCAGAUACGCGUAUCUGUCUGAAAGUAUCGUACGAAUAAGGAUCGGCUAACUCCGUGCCAGCAGCCGCGGUAAUACGGAGGAUUCAAGCGUUAUCCGGAUUUAUUGGGUUUAAAGGGUGCGUAGGCGGUCGGAUAAGUUAGAGGUGAAAUCCCGAGGCUCAACUUCGGAAUUGCCUCUGAUACUGUUCGGCGAGAGAGUAGUUGCGGUAGGCGGAAUGUAUGGUGUAGCGGUGAAAUGCUUAGAGAUCAUACAGAACACCGAUAGCGAAGGCAGCUUACCAAGCUACUUCUGACGUUGAGGCACGAAAGCGUGGGGAGCAAACAGGAUUAGAUACCCCAGUAGUC
rnacentral:rRNA from 1 species